GCCGGGGCCGCCUCCAUUUUCUGAGAGCGGCGCGGGGGUUCUGUUCAACGGCUGCUGCGGCAGCGGCGUGCGGGGCGGGUUGAUUGUGGGGCCGCUGAUGAGCUUCAUGAGCAUGUCACAGUACACGGGCAGCCUCCCCAGACAUGCAAGAACUGACAAGAUCCCCUCCUUGUGCUUCGCUAAGAAGGAAGCUAAAGCACAGAAGCAGAGAUGCUGACUCUGAAGAGGAGGAUGGAGGGAGAAAGACACCACAAGAGCAUACUUUUCCAAAUGAGUCCAUUCAGGCAAAACUGGAAAGGUACAAGCGCUACUAUCUGGAGGAACAAAAGCUCAGAAAAGGUCUAGAAAAUGACCUGCAAAGGCUGAGAGACUGGGCAGGGGCUUUCUACCUACACAAAAAGGCGGGCAGUGGAGAGAACGGAAUCUGCAGAACUAUGGUUGCCUCCAAUGGCAUUUCAGCAGCUGUAAAGCAGAAGCCAGACUUCUUUCUGCCAGAGCUUAAGCAUGGCCUGGAAUCUCCCUGCUGCUUCUGAGAACAUGCUCGUGGCCAAGGAAUGCACGCUGAAAGCAGAGCUGCAAGCCCUCAAUGCUAUUCUCUGGUAUCUCUUUGUGAGAAACAAAUUGUGUUUUUGUAGUAGAAGGUGUUUUUGUAGUGGAAAAUUCCACUAACCUUGUAUAUUCAAAAGUGAUUGUGUGGCAUAGCACUGGGGAGUAUGUUAAGCAGAAGAGGGGAAGUUGCCACUGUCUCAAAAUGAGGAGGACAGCUAAGAAAAACAGGAUGAGCAGUACGAAAUCAGUAAAAAAAUAAAUAAAUCAUGGGCUCUCUAGUCACUAGAGAAGCAGGAAAAAAAAGGAAAAGGAGAAAUUAAUGGUUGGUC